rnacentral:rRNA from 1 species
CCUACGGGUGGCAGCAGUGAGGAAUAUUGGUCAAUGGGCGCGAGCCUGAACCAGCCAAGUAGCGUGAAGGAUGACUGCCCUACGGGUUGUAAACUUCUUUUAUAAAGGAGUAAAGUGAGGCACGUGUACCUUUUUGUAUGUACUUUACGAAUAAGGAUCGGCUAACUCCGUGCCAGCAGCCGCGGUAAUACGGAGGAUCCGAGCGUUAUCCUGAUUUAUUGGGUUUAAAGGGAGCGUAGAUGGGUUGUUAAGUCAGUUGGGAAAGUUUGCGGCUCAACCGUAAAAUUGCAAUGGAUACUGGCAGUCUUGAGUAAAGUUGAGGUAGGCGGAAUUCGUGGUGUAGCGGUGAAAUGCUUAGAUAUCACGAAGAACUC